rnacentral:misc_RNA from 1 species
UGACACGGUAUCACCCGAAAUUUCGAUCAGAACCUACGACGCGAUGAAAUAAUUUCUAAAAAAACGUAUAUUUUUCAAUCACAGAUCCAAUGAAACUCUAUUUUUCGAAUAAAUUUCAAGAUUUUUUUCCUCACUCGACGUGGCAAAUAUGAUUUUCAAACGGAAAAAAAGUACUCACUCGGCAACGCUCCUCGGAGAUCGUCCUGAUGGGAAAAUCAGCUCAAAAGCAGAAACUUUGUACAUCGGGAUUAUGUGCUUUGCUGCUGCUUGUUUGAGUUUUAUCACCCUCGAAGUGGGCACUCGAUUCUCACUGGGACAAUCAGUUGCAAAAUCGGCCACUUUUCAUGCCAUUUUUCGUCGGAAUUACAGCAUGAAAAUAAAAAUAAUGAUAACUAACGUCGUUAUGGGAUUAAUAACGACGAUAAUGUUAGCCCUUGGCGAUCUCUAUCGUAUACCAUAUCUUCACAUGCCAUGGCUGAUAAACACCAUGAGAGGAAUGCUGUUUCACGAAGGCCCAGCACUUUUCGGUUUGACGAAUGUUUGGCUACCGAACGCUGGAGUCUCAACGGGAGCUUUUAUGUUCAUAACGUUUUUACUCUUCGUGGAAGAGCUUUGUCUGUGGUUCGAUGUGUUUGGGAGCUUGAAAAGUUGUUGGACUGAAUACACGAAUCGUAAGACUGAAUUAUCGACGGACGACAACAGGAAAACCUGUCUUACCGACGAGAAGGUUCCCAAGCAGACAGCAACCGAGUCGAGGCUCGUCAACGACAGGAAUUUCGAAUCGAUUGUUAAACCCACGAGUAUCCUUGUCGGUGCUGCUUCUACUUUUUCGAAUACGAGACUCAGGCCGACCCUAAAUUCGAGUAACAUUAAACAUGAUGCUAGUGAAAAAACAAAUUUUUAGAAGCUUUCGGAAUUCACGAUGGAUGUUCGGCCGGAAACAAUGGCAGAAAUUCCGAACUGAGCUUCGAAGGGCUUUGGCAUUCGUCGGCGCACCGUUCGCAACUGGAUUCGACCGCGUUACGAGCAAAUAUAUUUUGCACUACAAUCGAAAUAUUGGUGGGGAGCUCCUACUCUUCUCGGCACACACAGAGACAUUCACACGAACAGAACAGAUUAACGGUCGUUCGGAGACGCCACACACGCAGUAUACCGUCGAUAUACAUCACGACUUACAAUUGACGCUGUGCGCGCGAAAAAAAGACACUGUUUUCGUUUUCUCCUGCUAGUUGGACGAGCGGCAGAGUUCAGCAUAAAUUGACCCUUUCAAAAAACCCUUCGACACGUAAUUGUACGAAAAAACCAGUUAACGAAACUCUUCGUCGUUAAGUAAAAACGUUAUUUUAACUUC